rfam:Ictidomys tridecemlineatus contig020496, whole genome shotgun sequence.
GGGGGUGUGGCUCAGUGGUGGAGAGCGGGCCUCACAUGUGCGAGGGCCUGGGCUCCAUCCCCAGCACCUACA